AGAGGAGAAGAGACUUAGGGCCCGGUCCACAGGGAGAACCCCACACGACGAGGGAGGCAGAGACUGGAGUGACGCAGCUGCAAGCCAAGGAACCAAGAUGGCCGGCAACCGCCCGAAGCUAGGCAGAGGCGAGGAAAGAUGCUCCCGGAGAGCCUUCAGAGAGAGCGUGGCCCUGGCACCACCCUGAUUUGGGACUUCUAGCUUCCAGAACUGGGAGACAACACACUUCUACUGUUUUAACCCACCCGGUCAAGAGAUUCAAAAAGAUGAAGCCACCCACAAGCCUGUGAACCCGUUUAGGGUAAAGACGAUGUGCAAAGCAUCUGGGCAGCCCCAGAAUCGAGCAGCAGGCUGGCAAACAUUCAUUCAGGGUCGACUCGCACAAAACGGCCCCAGCUUCUCUAAUGGAGCUGCAGUUGACAAAACCCACGCUUCGCAGGCUGCUGAGUGAAAUGCUUAGGAAAGCAAAAUUGGAAGAUGCUGCGCUACUCAAACCGUGAAUGUAUUUUCCACAAUGAUAGCCCAUAUCUGCCCUUAUUCGAUGGAACCAGGCUGUGUUCUUCACACCAUAAGUGUCAUCUUCACAAUAUCUCUACUCAAGAGGCUCAGAAACUCCUCGGCUCGCCAGUGCAUGACGUUCCCAGAGGCUGUUCUAAGUGUAUUUGUGCUAAAGUACAAAAUGACUGUUCGAGCCAUCACUCCUAUCUGGCGAUCCUCUCUCACCUUUCACUACCCAGUUCUCUGCCCCAAGAGGCCAUUCUGUAUGGACCACAUCCACAGGCUUUCUUGGUUGCUGGCUUUGAUGUGCUUUUGACCAGGGAGGAGCCCAGCAGUUAUCAGAGAGAGAAGAGUGCACUGUGGGCAUUUCUCCCAUCUCCCAUCCUGCAGUGUCACUUCAGGAGGGCCCUGCCUCGCCACCCAAGAAAACACUUCCUCAGAAGGUGUGUUCUCCACGGGACGCUCUCAUUCUAGAAAAAAUCCCUCAUGUUGGUAGCCCAGGGAACUCCACCAUCUCAGCUUGGGUCUUGCCCAUACCCUACCCAUAGCACUGUGCACAGUCCCUUUACGAAGCUCUUCUCUUCUCUUACUUGAGUUGCCCUGUGUUUCCUGCAGCAUCUAUUAAUAGUACCAAAAAUUACUCCAGGAAACAGAUCCUCAAAAGAAGAUUCUGGGAUCAAUUUGCUUAUCUAUUUGAGGAUCUUCGAAGAGUGAAGUUUGAAAUCCUACCAGGAGAGAGCUCCUGUCCAGCCACAGUCUUGGCAGAAGGAAAGGGGAACACAGAAAUAGAACAUGUCGUAGAAGGAAGCUCUGAUUACUGAACUAUGCUGCAUCCAGGUUUGAUGGUAUUGACAUCACUCCAUGAUGAUUCAGAAGCUGACGGGACUUCAUGAGUCCCGUGAUGGACAAACAAACUUCUCCCACAAACACAAGUGGAUGCUAAGGAAUGAUGGCACCAGAUGUCUUAUUUAUCACUCCAGAUGCAGGAUGCUGUUCGCUGCGGAUUAUAGCAAUUGUCUCCUUCACCUUCUGGGCCGCGGGUGGGCUCCUGUACCAUCCCAGCAGGAGAUCUGACGACGGGAUGAGAACCAGCUGAGGGUGCUUACUUCUUUGCUCCCAUCCUGGGGGUUGCCUCUAGCUGGCUACAUCCCAUAACCAAAGGACACAAUUCCUGUCAUGAUUCCAUGCGGAACAGGAGAUGGAGAAUGUGGGAAAUUAAAGGCUGGGGGACUGGUGCAGUGUCCCCUGAACCAGGUUCUCGUUCAACAAGUAUACGCUGAGUACCUGCCCUGUGCCAGGCACCAUUCUACAGCAGAAAGAAGAGAGAUCAAGUUCCAGCCCUCUGGGGUUUACAUUCCAGUAUAGGAGACAAUCAACAAGUGAACAAAGAAAUGAGCCCACAACAGCAGAACUGUAUAGCUUCAAGAGAGACUACAAAGCUGAAAAUACUUGCUCGCUGGCUCUCUGCAGAGUAAGUUUACCGACCCCUGCUCUCUGGCCUGGAGCCACAGCAUCAUGAUAGAAGGAACUGAGGAGCAGUCCAUUUCCUCUAGGAAUUUUCUGGGAGCCAGAGCAAUGGUCUGCUUAACUAACCCUUCCCGUCUUAGAAUGGGUUGGAGGAAAAUUCACACUCGAGCUUAAUCAGUACAUGGAGAUUGGGGUAACUCUACCUUCUGCCUCCUUGAAUAAACUUGCCCAGAAACUCAAUUCGAAAUGCCCACGUCGGGGAUGGAGAAACAAGCAGAAAAGAAAGCUCCAGCCCGUGGCCUCAGGUCGAACUCGGAGUGAACUUCUGCACGACCAAGCAACUUCAAGUUCUCAGCUUGCUGCGUAUUUCUCCCACCUCCACCCCUGCUUUCUGUGUGGUACUGCUGAUUCUAGCUGCUAAUAACACUUAAUCUACCCAACAACAUCGACAUCAGAGAAAAUGACUGGGAUCAGAAAUCCUCCCUCACCUCUCGCCUUGCAGCCUCUGAAGAAGGCUCUGCCACUGUCUGCAAGUGAAGCCUAGCCUGAAGCCUUCAGCUUCCAGAGGCCAAGCAAAUGUUAUCCUAACAUGGGUCACGGUAGGUGGGUGGUUGGCAAACCUGUUGAUACACUACGCUGUCUACAACAUAACUUGUUGCAAAGCUGAAUUAACAGUAGCCCCAAGGCCAGCUGAAGACUGCGCACAGAUUAUCCCCAUUCCUAUUUUAAGAUUUGAAUCUAACAAACAGCACAGACUGCUCCGCCAUCAUUUGCUUACCACUUGUUUGUAUCUAUUUUUCUGUGUUACUAACUUUAGCCAUGCUUUUUGCCACAGGAUUGAGUCUGAGAGCAGGCAGACAUGGACUCAAGAAAGACAGAUGAUGGUUUAAAUUUACUCUCACAGGAUAAAGACCAAAACAGCCUUCUCCUGUUCAAGGACCCCUCGAAGCUGGUUAGCUAAUAGCCAAUUUUUUUUUUUAAAGACUUUAUCUUUUUUCAUUUUUCUCGCCAAAGCCCCCCGGUACAUAGUUGUAUAUUCUUCGUUGUGGGUCCUUCUAGUUGCGGCAUGGGGGACGCUGCCUCAGCGUGGUUUGAUGAGCAGUGCCACGUCCGCGCCCAGGAUUCGAACCAACGAAACACUAGGCCGCCUGCAGCGGAGAGCGCGAACUUAACCACUCAGCCACGGGGCCAGCCCCACUAAUAGCCAAUUUUGAGCACCCUAAAAAUCAUGACAAAGUGACAGGAUCCUAGUCAUCAUGUUCAUAGUAUAAUUUCUCAUUUGGAUGAUGAUAAAUUCAUAAAUUUUAGAGCAAAAUAGCUGUAAAGAAUAGUAGUCAGGUGAAAUUUGGGUAUAAAAUGAUCUGGGUGUGAACUUGGGCUGUGGUCUUUACUCUCCGUUCCACCCUGGACAAGUCACUUACCCCCCCUAGAAUGCAGUUUCCUACUGGGAAAAUGAAGGGAGUGGACUGGUUCCAUGAAGUACCCUCCAGCAGCAAAAGUCUAUGAAUCUCCAUCCGGUCUAGGUUAACCCCUUCCUUUACAGAUGUAGAAACUGAACACACAAGGGUGAACUCUAAAACAGCUAGUUAGGGGUAUAGAUGAGUUUGGAAUCAGUCUUUGAUAUUUUGUUUUAAAUUAACUGGGUGUGGGGGGCAGGUGUGGGUGUGUAUGUGUGCGUAGGUGUUCUGAAGAGCUCAAAAUCAUAAAAAUGCAAUACCCCUGGCCCCGGGCCUAACUUCAUGUGAAUUUCUGCAUCUUUCUGUUCUUAGAAUCUCUGUUCUUAGAACAGAAGGGGCCAUAAAGAUUGUGCAUGGCACCCUACUCAAUUUAUAGGCAAGAACUUAGAAGACACCCCAACUGGAACACCAGAGCUGGGAGCACAUCUCAGGCCUUAGAACACACAAAGGCCUGAACAAUGACGUGGUUUGUAUUGACUCUCAGCCCAAGUGGUAUUUCUCAAAUUUUCUUAGUAAUGAAUGACUUACGAAAAAAGCUAGUGAUUAAAUGUCAUUUGCUGGAUUUUCUCUAAAUAAAAAUCAUUUUCUAAGAGUCACUAACCGCUUACUAUAAUGACUUUACUGUGGGAUUACUUUAAUUUUACUGUGGAAAUAAGGAUUAUGUCAACUUCCUUUACCUCAGAAGUCUUGAAAUGGAAAAUUUUGCUUGUGUAAGUACAUAGU
rnacentral:lncRNA from 1 species